rnacentral:rRNA from 1 species
UACCAGACUCCUACGGGAGGCAGCAGUGGGGAAUAUUGCGCAAUGGGCGAAAGCCUGACGCAGCGACGCCGCGUGGGUGAAGGAGCACCUCGGUGCGUAAAGCCCUAUCGGCAGGGAAGAAACAGCCGGUACCUGACUAAGAAGCCCCGGCUAACUACGUGCCAGCAGCCGCGGUCAUACGUAGGAUCCGAGCAUUAUCCGGAGUGACUGGGUGUAAAGAGUUGCGUAGGUGGCAUAAUAAGUAGCUAGUGAAAUCUGGUGGCUCAACCAUUCAGACUAUUGGCUAAACUGUUAAGCUCGAGACCGUUAGGGGUAACUGGAAUUUCUAGUGUAGGAGUGAAAUCCGUAGAUAUUAGAAGGAACACCAAUAGCGUAGGCAGGUUACUGGGACGGUCCUGACACUAAGGCACGAAAGCGUAGGGAGCAAACGGGAUUAGAUACCCGGUA